rnacentral:rRNA from 1 species
UACGAAGGGGGCUAGCGUUGUUCGGAAUUACUGGGCGUAAAGCGCGCGUAGGCGGACUGGUUAGUCAGAGGUGAAAUCCUGGAGCUUAACUCCAGAACUGCCUUUGAUACUGCCAGUCUUGAGGAUGGGAGAGGUGAGUGGAACUGCGAGUGUAGAGGUGAAAUUCGUAGAUAUUCGCAAGAACACCAGUGGCGAAGGCGGCUCACUGGCCCAUUUCUGACGCUGAGGCGCGAAAGCGUGGGGAGCAAACAGG